UAGGGAAUCUUCCGCAAUGGGCGAAAGCCUGACGGAGCAACGCCGCGUGAGUGAUGAAGGUCUUCGGAUCGUAAAACUCUGUUAUUAGGGAAGAACAAAUGUGUAAGUAACUAUGCACGUCUUGACGGUACCUAAUCAGAAAGCCACGGCUAACUACGUGCCAGCAGCCGCGGUAAUACGUAGGUGGCAAGCGUUAUCCGGAAUUAUUGGGCGUAAAGCGCGCGUAGGCGGUUUUUUAAGUCAGGGGUGAAAUCCCGGGGCUCAACCCCGGAACUGCCGUUGAUACUGGAAGUCUUGAGUAUGGUAGAGGUGAGUGGAAUUCCGAGUGUAGAGGUGAAAUUCGUAGAUAUUCGGAGGAACACCAGUGGCGAAGGCGGCUCACUGGACCAUUACUGACGCUGAGGUGCGAAAGCGUGGGGAGCAAACAGG
rnacentral:rRNA from 1 species